rnacentral:rRNA from 1 species
UACGUAGGCAGCGAGCGUUGUUCGGAGUUACUGGGCGUAAAGAGUGCGUAGGCGGUGCCCUAAGUCUGGUGUGAAAUCUCCCGGCUCAACCGGGAGGGUGCGCCGGAAACUGGGGUGCUCGAGUGUGGGGAGAGGCAGGCGGAAUUCCCGGUGUAGCGGUGAAAUGCGUAGAUAUCGGGAAGAACGACCCGUGGCGAAGGCGGCUACUCUGGUACGUGACGUGACGCUGAGACGCGAAAGCGUGGGGAGCAAACAGGGAUUAAGAAACCCCAG